rnacentral:tRNA from 1 species
GCCACUGUAGCUCAGCGGUUGCGCCUGCGACCAUGCAGGUGCCGCUAGAGAGCGGCAGUUUCGUAAACUGCAGGCCGGGGGUUCGAGACCCUCCAGUGGCUCCA